ensembl:miRNA MIR1266 microRNA 1266
ACAGGUAGUGUCCCUCAGGGCUGUAGAACAGGGCUGGGAUUACUAAAGCCCUGUUCUAUGCCCUGAGGGACACUGAGCAUGUCA